AGCCUCCCAAGGUGCUAGGAUUACAGGCGUGAGCCACUGUGCCCAGCCACCAUUGAUUUUCUGUAGCUGCUUGUUGUACCUCUGUGAUUUGCAGCCAACUGCUCUUCCUAACUGCUAUAGCCAUAAUAAGGAGUGCAUUGUGGUGGCAGCAGCUGAAGUUGAUGAAGAAUCAGUCAGUAAAGCCAAAGAGAAUUGGAGUGAAAAGAAAGCACAAAGGCUAUGUCCAAACUGGGCCUUUGACAGGUUACGGGUUAUUAGGGUCACUAUCCAGAAAUUUAAAAAUAUCCUCUUUGUCAUAACAAAACCAGAUGUCUACAAGAGCCCUGCUUCAGAUACCUACAUCAUUUUGGGGGAAGCCAAGAUUGAGGAUUUAUCUCAGCAAGCACAAGAGAGUGAAGAGCACAAGGUUGAUGGAACAGGUAUAGAAGUUAAGGACAUACAAUCGGUCAUGUCACAAGCAAAUGUGUCGAGAGCAAAGGCAAUCAGAGCCC